CCUACGGGUGGCUGCAGUGAGGAAUAUUGGUCAAUGGGCGCGAGCCUGAACCAGCCAAGUCGCGUGAGGGAAGACGGUCCUAUGGAUUGUAAACCUCUUUUGUCGGGGAGCAAAAGACGCCACGCGUGGCGUUCCGAGAGUACCCGAAGAAAAAGCAUCGGCUAACUCCGUGCCACCAGCCGCGGUAAUACGGAGGAUGCGAGCGUUAUCCGGAUUUAGUGGGUUGAAAGGGCGCGUAGGCGGACAGUUAAGCCGGCGGUCAAAUGUCGGGGCUCAACCCCGGCCUGCCGUCGGAACUGGGUGUCUUGAGUGGGCGAGAGGUAUGCGGAAUGCGUGGUGUAGCGGUGAAAUGCGUAGAUAUCACGCAGAACCCCGGUUGCGAAGGCAGCAUACCGGCGCCCUACUGACGCUGAGGCACGAAAGUGCGGGUAUCGAACAGGAUUAGAUACCCUGGUAGUC
rnacentral:rRNA from 1 species